UGCCAGCCGCCGCGGUAAUACGGAGGGUGCAAGCGUUGUUCGGAAUUAUUGGGCGUAAAGCGCAUGCAGGUGGAUGAUUAAGUCAGAUGUGAAAGCCCGGGGCUCAACCUCGGAAUAGCAUUUGAAACUGGUCAUCUAGAGUACUGUAGAGGGGGGUAGAAUUUCAGGUGUAGCGGUGAAAUGCGUAGAGAUCUGAAGGAAUACCAGUGGCGAAGGCGGCCCCCUGGACUGAUAUUGACGCUGAGGUGCGAAAGCGUGGGGAGCAAACAGGAUUAGAUA
rnacentral:rRNA from 1 species